CGCGGAGGAGUGCUGUUCGUGUGUUCGAGUCCCUGGGUUGCUUCCUGGGGUCUGUGGUGCUGGGUGUGCUAUCUGCGUGUGAUUCUCUAGCGAGAGAUUGUGGGCGAGUGACCGAGUGGGCAAGGGGCCGUCACUGUGUGUGCGUGAUUUUGACAGUGUGUGGUGGUAGCUUCUGACUCCGCGUGGGUCGUUGAAUGUAUGACUGGGACCGUUUAGCGGUGGAUACACAACUGUGUGCGGCUGUGGAAGAUUGCCUCAUCCGUUACGUUCCCAUUUCCGUGGAACAACAGUUUUACCAGAAGGUUUCGAAGGAACCUUAAAGUUUGGAAGCGCGGCUUUGGUGUCAUCAAAUGUGAGAAGCCCUGGACUUUACACAUCCCGAGCCAGUGUGAUCCAGUAUGAUUGGGAGUCCGAGUGCCAGAUGCCGGUCAGGACCUGUUAUGCUGGGUCUCAGAAUGCGGAAACUCUCCCUGUCCGAGGUGGAACAGUUUGUCCUUGAGUGAGGACUGGAGUCCUGAGUGACUCUUUUGAUUUGAUCCUGUUUCCCUCAAACCUGAGAUGGGAGCCUCACUGUAUUGCCCAGGCUGGUCUUGAACUCCGGAGCUCAAGUGAUCGUCUUGCUUCAGCCUUGCAAAAUGAUGGUGAAGCUGCAUCAUUGUCUGGGGUAAAUACCUGAGGUUCGUUGUCUCACGCCAAGGGAAUCAAGGACGUGGACACACAAGAAGACAUACAGCCCUGCCGAGCAAAUAAUGAACGUAACUCACAAACUUCCUGCUUAUCAUCAAACGCACGCAUCCACUUAUCAUCAAACACCUCGGGUGACAGAAGAAUGCAGGUCAGCUCCCUGCUGCCUUGGCAUUAUCAAUCAGCCCAGGAACCAUCCUAUAAAAUCUCCAGCAAGCCUUUGUUUCCUUGCAGUCAGCUCCUCUUCCACUGAUUCUGC
rnacentral:lncRNA from 1 species